GACGAACCGAGCGAACGUUGUUCGGAAUCACUGGCUUAAAGGGCGCGUAGGCGGGUGCUCAAGUCCGUGGUGAAAUCCUCCGGCUCAACCGGAGAACUGCCUCGGAUACUGGGCGUCUCGAGUGUGGUAGGGGUAUGCGGAACUAUCGGUGGAGCGGUGAAAUGCGUUGAUAUCGAUAGGAACUCCGGUGGCGAAGGCGGCAUACUGGACCACCACUGACGCUGAUGCGCGAAAGCCAGGGGAGCAAACGGG
rnacentral:rRNA from 1 species